rnacentral:rRNA from 1 species
CAGUACCGCGGUAAAACGAAGGGGGCUAGCGUUGUUCGGAUUUACUGGGCGUAAAGGGUGCGUAGGCGGACUGAUAAGUCAGGGGUGAAAUCCCAAGGCUCAACCUUGGAACUGCCUUUGAUACUGGAGAUCUUGAGUCCGGGGGAGGUGAGUGGAACUGCGAGUGUAGAGGUGAAAUUCGUAGAUAUUCGCAAGAACACCAGUGGCGAAGGCGGCUCACUGGCCCGGAACUGACGCUGAGGCUCGACAGCGUGGGGAGCAAACAGGAUUAGAUACCCGAGUAGUCCCUGUCUCUUAUACA